GUGCAUGUAGCUCAGUUGGCAGAGCAUUGGACUAGUAUUCCAAAGGUCGUAGGUUCGAUUCCCACCGUGGCCG
rnacentral:tRNA from 1 species